GUGGAAACGAGCGAGGCAAAAGCCAUUACUACAAAGAGGAACUGUACUGUUUACUGCUUUGGAGAGAGAGAAGAGAGAGAGAGAAUUAGAUGUGAAAGGUGAAAAAAUUCAAAGCUUGAAAAUUUUGAAUGCGAGUCAGUAUAGAAUAUCUUUGAAAAAAAAAAUAGUAUAGAAUAUUUUACAUGCAAACGCGUGCAUCUUUGAGAGGAAUUUCUUGGGUUUGCCUAAGAAAAGAAGGUGCUUCCAUUUUCCACUUUUACU
rnacentral:misc_RNA from 1 species